rnacentral:lncRNA from 1 species
CUCCGCCAAGCCUCCGAAUUUGAGAGAGAGAGAUAAAAAGAGAGUAGGGAGAUAUCUAGACAGAAAAAGGGAGGGUUUCUUUCUCCCUCACCAUGCGUGUGUGUGUGUGGUGUGUGCUCGGCUGAGAAGGAGGAAGAAGGAAAGGGAAGAAGCCCCUUUUAUAGUCAACACCCCUCAACAUUAAUAUAAUUUCAGUUUAGCAGCUUAGAAUCUGUUUCUUUUCGCUAGAGCCUUUCUGAAUGUCCGUUUGUGCUCAAAUUUGAUAGUCAGGCUCGGUUUAAGCUAAUAAAAUAAAAAUAUCUUAACUUUUCAGUUUGGACCAUUUUUGGUCAUCGAAAGUUCUACCGACUAGAAUCUCUAGCAAAUAGCAGUUAGAUUUUACUUUCCACUUUUCAGGUGUCGGAAUGACAUGAAACUUUAAAUCUAGCAUUAUAAAAAUAAUUCCGACAUAUUUUUCAAUUUUCACAAUUUUUCUGACACUGUGAAUUUUCUGCUAAAAUAUCAGCCCUAUUUCUUACAGAAAAUUCUAAAUCUUCUGUUUCCGUUCCGAUUUCAGCACAAGUCGUUUUCGACUUAUAUUUUACUUCUUUAAGUCCAAUAAAAAUAGUAUCUCACACUAUUUUUAUUUAUAUUUAUUUUUAUAUUAAAAAUUCGGCAUACUACAGUUACACUCUUUCAUCUUAUUAAUUAUUCUUUAUUCUUUUUAUUUUAUUUUAAAUAAGGUUUCUUGUUUCACAAGAAAGGUACAUGUAAUUAUGCCUUAGCAGUUGUCAUUUUAAAAAAAAAUUGACACUUUAUUUAAUAUGCAAUAAAAUUUAAUUUAAAAAAAAAAGAGUGCAAUACACAUCUAAAUGGUGCAAUAUCUUCUCAUAAAAGUGCAACGUUUAUACAAAUGGUGUAAAUAUCUAUACAAAUAGUGUAAAAUAUGCACCGUUUGUAUAUAUUGUAUAAUUUUUAUAAUAUGUUGUAAUAUAUUAUAUUAUUUUCGCGUAAUAUACUAAACUAUACGUAAGUUAAUGUAAAAAUCAUGCAAAUGUAUGUUAACAAUGCAUAUGUUGCACUAUUUAUACAGAUAUUGUACUAUUUAGAAGAGCAUGUUGCACUAUUUGAGUGGAUGUUGCAUUCUUUCAUCUUAUUAAUUAUUUUUUAUUUUUUUUAUUUAGUCUUGAAUGAGAAUUCUCGUUUCACGAGAAAGGUACAUGUAAUUAUGACUUAGAUUGUUAUUUUCAAGAAAUUUUACACUUAAUGGCUUAGCAGUUGUAUUUUUCUAGGCAUUUAAAGUAUAUGAUUUUUAUGCAUUUUGAAAGAGGAAUAAUUUUGUCAUCCUUCUGAAAAUUCGGGUCGAAUCUGUAUAAUUUAAAAAGACGGUUUAUUUUUACAAAAGCUCAAAACUAAUAGAUUUUUUUUUAUGUAAAUUGGCCAAAAAUGAAAAUAAAAAAUAAUAAAA